GGAUCUGUGGCGCAAUGGUAGUGCAUUUGACUUCUGAUCAAAAGGUUGCGUGUUCAAUUCACGUCGGGUUCA